rnacentral:rRNA from 1 species
CAGCCGUAAACGAUGCGCGUUAGGUGUAUCGACGACCACGAGUCGUCGAGGUGCCGAAGGGAAACCGUGAAACGUGCCGCCUGGGAAGUACGGUCGCAAGGCUGAAACUUAAAGGAAUUGGCGGGGGAGCACCACAACAGGUGGAGCCUGCGGUUUAAUUGGACUCAACGCCGGAAAUCUCACCGGAUAAGACAGCGGAAUGAUUGCCGGGCUGAAGACUCUGCAUGACUAGCUGAGAGGAGGUGCAUGGCCUCAGUGACU